GCAGCAGCCGCGGUAAUACGUAGGUCCCGAGCGUUGUCCGGAUUUAUUGGGCGUAAAGCGAGCGCAGGCGGUUAGAUAAGUCUGAAGUUAAAGGCUGUGGCUUAACCAUAGUACGCUUUGGAAACUGUUUAACUUGAGUGCAAGAGGGGAGAGUGGAAUUCCAUGUGUAGCGGUGAAAUGCGUAGAUAUAUGGAGGAACACCGGUGGCGAAAGCGGCUCUCUGGCUUGUAACUGACGCUGAGGCUCGAAAGCGUGGGGAGCAAACAGGAUUAGAUACCCGCGUAGUCCCUGUCUCUUAUACA
rnacentral:rRNA from 1 species